rnacentral:rRNA from 1 species
CCAGACUCCUACGGGAGGCAGCAGUGGGGAAUAUUGCACAAUGGGGGAAACCCUGAUGCAGCGACGCCGCGUGAGCGAUGAAGUAUUUCGAUAUGUAAAGCUCUAUCAGCAGGGAAGAAAAUGACGGUACCUGACUAAGAAGCCCCGGCUAACUACGUGCCAGCAGCCGCGGUAAUACGUAGGGGGCAAGCGUUAUCCGGAUUUACUGGGUGUAAAGGGAGCGUAGACGGCAUGGUAAGUCAGAUGUGAAAGCCCGGGGCUCAACCCCGGGGCUGCAUUUGAAACUGUCAGGCUGGAGUGCAGGAGAGGUAAGUGGAAUUCCUAGUGUAGCGGUGAAAUGCGUAGAUAUUAGGAGGAACACCAGUGGCGAAGGCGGCCUGCUGGACAGUAACUGACGUUGAGGCUCGAAAGCGUGGGGAGCAAACAGGAUUAGAUACCCGCGUA